rnacentral:misc_RNA from 1 species
GAUGAAGAACGUAGCGAAAUGCGAUAAGUAAUGUGAAUUGCAGAAUUCAGUGAAUCAUCGAAUCUUUGAACGCACAUUGCGCCCGCCAGCAUUCUGGCGGGCAUGCCUGUUCGAGCGUCAUUUCAACCCUCGAGCCCUCCCGGGGGCCUCGGUGUUGGGGGACGGCACACCAGCCGCCCCCGAAAUGCAGUGGCGACCCCGCCGCAGCCUCCCCUGCGUAGUAGCACACACCUCGCACCGGAGCGCGGAGGCGGUCACGCCGUAAAACGCCCAACUUUCUUAGAGUUGACCUCGGAUCAGGUAGGAAUACCCGCUGAACUUAAGCAUAUCAAUAAGCGGAGGA